GCAGCGAAGAAGAGGAUGCCAGCGCAGGGAGCUAUAGGAAGGAGCCCUGCCCACUGACUGUCCGGCACCACCUGUCCAACUCAGCUGAACCGAUGGGAACAAGUGACACUCUGCAGCUCACUGCUCCUGAGUAAGAGACCAAGAGCUGCAGGCGGAGCUGGGGCGUGACAAAGCCUUCUGGACCAGACGCGUGACUCAACAGGACCAAGGGGGACCCCGAGGCGACACCAAGCCAACUCAGAGAGAUGGUUCCUUCAGCGCGUCCUGGGCCUUCCACGAGGCCUCCUCCCAAUAGGACAUGCAUGGAACACCUCCCGAGGGAGACGACCAGGAGGCAUCCGGAACACAUACCCAAGCCACAUCAGCUGGCUCCUUUCG